rnacentral:rRNA from 1 species
CAACUUUCAGCAACGGAUCUCUUGGCUCUCGCAUCGAUGAAGAACGCAGCGAAAUGCGAUAAGUAAUGUGAAUUGCAGAAUUCAGUGAAUCAUCGAAUCUUUGAACGCACCUUGCACUCCUUGGUAUUCCGAGGAGUAUGCCUGUUUGAGUGUCAU